CUUUCUUCCAAAUUCUCAAAAGCAUGAAACCCUCGUAGGGUUUCUUCUCCUUCUUCACGCAAACAACAACAACAGCCUCCUUUUCGCACCUUCCCAAGUUAACUACGGUGCCACCUCCAUUACUGUUAGGUCCCUCAUCAUUGUCGCACCUCUCCCGGCUGGCCAAGGUCAUCGUCGGCAACAUCGCUCACUGCCGUAGUCUCUAACCUAGGUUUUCAUGUGGGAUGCUGGCGAUGCUCAACGAGCCCCAUCUCUCGCUUAAGCUUCAUGCGCACUCCAACCUCAACAAAUUGGUCGACACCUUCUGGCCGAGAUCUCCACUAGUCGGCCUAAGAUAGUGGAGACAAUUUGUGUGCAGUUGUGAUUUGCUUCCAGCACCAACCUCCUCGCAACUUGGUGGCCCCUUGGUCUAGAGUGCACUAGAGCUUCUCUGCUUAAGAUUUGAAGGAGUUGUAGAGUUUCCUUGAGAACUUGGGAUCUUGUGGAACUGUGUAUAUCAUGCUUUGUAGUAUGGAUUGAUUGCCAUCAAACUUGAAAAAGGUCUUCCACCUAAUAAUUAUAUGUGCAACAUUUGUAGAGCUAUCAGCAAUUGCUUUGGAGUUUCUUUCCAAGUCAGGACUUGAUUUUGUUUUAGGUGUAAAUUAUAGUUUAAGUUAAUAUUCAACUCUAUAUUAUACAAGGACCUGUUUGUUUUAGAUUUAAAUUAUUGUAAAAGUUAAAUUUGAGUGUUAUGAGAUAUUAAUAUUAAGUAGUUGUAUUUAUUUCUUUGAACUCUCUUUAUAGAGUAUUCAAAUAAAAUUUUCAUGUUUUAA